GCUCGUGUGGUGAAAUUGGCAGACACGACGGACUUAAAAUCCGUUGAUCGUAAGAUCAUGAGGGUUCAAGUCCCUUCUCGAGCACCA
rnacentral:tRNA from 1 species